rnacentral:rRNA from 1 species
CCAGACUCCUACGGGAGGCAGCAGUGGGGGAUAUUGCACAAUGGGGGGAACCCUGAUGCAGCGACGCCGCGUGGGUGAAGGAGUGCUUCGGCAUGUAAAGCCCUAUCGGCAGGGAAGAAGCAAGACGGUACCUGACUAAGAAGCCCCGGCUAACUACGUGCCAGCAGCCGCGGUAAUACGUAGGGGGCAAGCGUUAUCCGGAUUUACUGGGUGUAAAGGGAGCGUAGACGGCGAUGCAAGCCAGAUGUGAAAGCCCGGGGCUCAACCCCGGGACUGCAUUUGGAACUGUGCAGCUCGAGUGCAGGAGAGGUAAGCGGAAUUCCUAGUGUAGCGGUGAAAUGCGUAGAUAUUAGGAGGAACACCAGUGGCGAAGGCGGCUUACUGGACUGUAACUGACGUUGAGGCUCGAAAGCGUGGGGAGCAAACAGGAUUAGAUACCCCAGUA